CCUAGAGUUGUAGGCUUUGCCUGCUAUCUCUUACCCAUGUCUUUUGAGUACCUUCGUUUCCUCGGCUGGGUCGCCCACCGAUUGGACAAAUUUAAACCAUUUGCAGUUGCAAUCAGCGUCUGAAGAAACUUAAUAGUUA
rnacentral:misc_RNA from 1 species